CGCGUUCUCCUGGGCGCCCGGGGCGCUGUGGCGUUCGCGGCUGGUCGCAGGCCGCCUGCCAAUCAGGGCCGGGGGAAGGGAGGAGGCUGGGGACUAGCGCCGCGAGUGCCACCUGGAGGGACCCCGGCCCCCACCCUUGGCUCCGCCCGGCCCACGGACCUGUUCGUCCCGCCCCUUGGCGGCUCCUACACUUCUGCUUUUCAGCCAGUUUUGCCUCUUGCACUUUGUCCCUGCCUGUCCCCGUCCCCGUCUCCCUCUCUGCUCCGGCCGCCUUGGCGCAGCCCUAACUCGGGCAUCCGAAGCUCCUAGUGGGCGCAGAAGCCAGCGGCUGCUGCCUGCCCUUCGCCUUUCGGAGGCUCACGGGAACUUGGUUCCUUUGCUGGGGCCUUGAGGACCGGCCUGGGAAGGAGGGGUGGAUAAGAGCAGUCCCUGACUCCCCAUUUGCAAAAUGACAUGGGAGGUGGGCUUUCCUCCCUCAGCCUGGGGCCAACCGAACACACCCUCUGGGGAAGUGAGACCCAGGCCUGGAGACCCACCUGUGCCAGCUGACCUGAGCAGAGGGACUCUGAUGUCUUCCCCCGGCUUUUGAUAGGAUGAGGCUCCUUUCUUCCCAGGACUCCCACAGCAAGCUCAAUUUAGGGCUUCCCAAGGACCCCUCCCUGUCUCUCCUAUUUGCUGUGAGUUCAGCAAAGGACGCUGCAGGCAGCUGAUAUAUCUCCCAGAACUGCAGGCCCACCCACACAGGAUAGGUGCUUGUGGUGACUGGGGACUGACAGCCAGCAGGGCUUUUGGGAGCUGGGAAUUCCCAGCAGAACUGAUCUGGAAUCUGGCUUCCACUUUGCUCCGGGUGCUCCCUGAGCACACUCUCAACCUCCGCAGGCCCUGGCCUCCUCAGCUGUGCAAUGGAGGCAACAAAAGCACAGAGGCUGAAUAAUAUUCCAGGUAUGGAUGGGCCACGUUUUAUUUAUUUACUUAUCUGUCAGCGGUCCCUGAGCUGCUCCCACCUUUUGGCUACUGUGGACGAUGCUGCUGUGAACCUCGGUGUGCAAAUAUCUGUUUGAGUUCCUGCUUUCAUUUCUUGUGGGAAUAUGCCCAGAAAUGGAAUUGCUGGAUGAGCCCUGCAGGGUGUGGCCCUGCUGGUCAUCACCAUUUUACAGAAGAAUUAACCCAGACUCAAAGCCUCUGAGCAGCUCACUCAAGGUCAUGGAACUAGCAAAGAGCUAAGCCAAAACUCAAACUCCUGCUGUGUACGCCAAAGUCAGGCCCCUGACCAUGCUGCUGUCUGCCUCAGUUUCCCCUGCAGCAAAAUGGAGCUGGUGGUCUGGACCUUGUCUGCCUCAGAGGGAUGUCAGGGGCUCAAACUGUGCAGGUGAACUCUUCUGUCAGCAUCAGAGUGGGGCUUAAGCUCCAUGAAUUGAUAUCAUAACCCCAGUUGAUUUGUUCAUUUGGAGGAUCACAAAACAGACCACCAAGCCUCCAACUCCCGGCAGUCUCUUUAAUAUUUCAAAUAAAAAAUGGUCAGAGCCAGAAGGGACUCACCUAAGGGCUGCUAAAGUGACCCAUUCCUUGCACAGAAGCCAGUGGAAGGCCAAGAAGGAAAGGGCUCCUCCAUGUUACCUAAGGACCCACCUUUCCCGCUCAGGGGUCUGGCACCCCGUCAGCUGAGUGAGCCUUUAUGGAGUGCCUGCUCAGGAGAGUCAUGGGAUCUAGGGACAGGGUCAUUUCAGCCGAGACCUAAAGAAAGGGUGAGUAGGAGCCAGCCAAGGUGGAAGAGUGGGAGCUUCAGGAAGCCAGUGUGUGGAAGCUGGGUGGGUGCAUGAGGUCAGAGGGAUGGGCAGGACUUUGUGGACCCAGGAAGGGUUUCAGCUCCCUUUGAGGGGUGCUGAAAGCCAGGGUGCCAUGGGCUCAGCUCACCCCAUGGGGCAUGCCAGGGAAUCCUUGAGGUCACAACCUUCCCCAGCAGAAGGAGCACCCCACAGGCCUGGUGGGCUGACCCUCAGGGUGGUGGGGUUGUGCCUCCUCCCCACUUGCUUCUUCCCUUCCCUCCUCCUCAGGGUCUCCCAGCAACAUGGAAGAGAAGCCCACUUUCCUCCCUGACACCACCACUGGGCAUGGGAUUCCACCUGUCUCCAUGAGAGAAGAUGGGAAAUACCAGUGGGGAAGCAGAGAGGCUCCCCAUUCUCCAGAUUUCAGACCACAGGCCCCUCAAGGGAAGCAUCCUGGUAGGGAGGAGGUGGAAGAAAAGUUCUAUUCAAAGUCAGUCUUGGCAACUGUACCCUCCCUCCCCCCUCCCUCUCCCUGGAUGGACUCGAGGCCUGGGGAAGGCCUGACCACCCGGCCCUGGCUGUGUGAGACAUCCAUGCCUCAGGCGGGUUCCUUCUCUUUCCCCCUGUCUCCCUCCAGGACAGCAAAGCCAGGUUCCAUCCCACCCCCUGGAAGAGGUGUUGCCUGAGGACUAGAUCUAGGGGGGACCCUAAGAAAGGUGUCUAUGGUGGCACCUGGAUGGGAACAUUCUGGAGUCUUGCCAUUGGGAUUGAGAGGGAUGCUCAAGUGAUCAUAGGACAAAAACUAGAAUGAAGCUUUGGGGCCCACCCUCCCCUAUCAGGGAGGAGUCCCUUGUUCACACAGAAGUCACGUCUCCUUUGCUCUCGGGUAGUUCUGAACUUGGUGUUAUAACAUGUGGGUUUGUAAAUCUGGAUCACUGAAGGCAGGAUGCACCCACCCCUUCACUCAAAUUUGGAUUUAGAUUGACCUUGGUCUGAAAAGCAUUACUUGAUUCUUGGGACAUAUGUGUGUUUCUUUGUCCAAGAAGAUAGGAGAUCAGAUGAGAGGACUUCAGCAGGGACAAGGGCUCAGAGGGAUAAGGAUAAUCUCUGGUACAUUUUAACUAUGAAUGAUUUAAAAUACUCUUACUCUUUUUUGUUGUUCUUGUUCUUGGUUUUUUUUUUUUUUUUCUUUUGAGACAGGGUCCCACUCUGUUACAGGCUGGAGUGCAGUGAGGCAAUCAUCGCUCACUGAAGCCUCAAACUCCUGGGCUCAAGGGUUCCUCCCACCUCAGUCUCCCAAGCAGCUGGGGCUGCAGGUGCACGCCACCAUGCCUGGCUAAUUUCUUUUUGUUUUUUGUAGAGAUGGUGUCUCACUGUGUUGCCCAGGCUAGCGUGGAACUCCUGGAUACAAGCGAUCCUCCACCUCGUCUUCCCAAAGUGCUGGGAUUACAGGCAUGAGUCACUGCGCUGGGCCUUCUGUUACUUCUAAUUAAUUUAUUAAUUGACUUUUGGGGGAGACACAGUUUUACUGUGCCCCCCCAGGCUGGAGUGCAGGGCUGUGAUCUUGGCUCACUGCAACCUCCGCCUUUCAGAUUCAAGCAAUUCUCCUGCCUCAGCCUCCUGAGUGGCUGGGAUCACAGGUGUGCACCACCACGUCUGGCUAAUUUUUGUACUUUUAGUAGAGAGAGGGUUUCGCCAUGUUGGUCAGGCUUGUCUCGAACUCCUGGCCUCAAGUGAUCCACCCGCCUUGGCCUCCCAAAAUGUUGGGAUUACUGGCGUAAGCCACCACGCCCAGCCUCUUCUGUUACUUUUAAAAAUGUGUCCAGUGGAGUCUAUAACAAUACCAGUUUGACAGCUGCCAUCUUUUAUUUUAGAAAAAAUACAUGAAUAAGCUUUACUCCAGCAGACAAAUAUUAUAAACCCUCACCCAUUAUCUUUGUAUUUUAACCUCGAAAGUCUUUCAUUGAUCAUUUUAUUAUUAUUCUUUUUUUUUUCUUUUUUCUUUUUGAGAUGGAGUUUUGCUCUGUGGCCUAGGCUGGAGUGCAGUGGCACGAUCUCGGCUCACUGCAACCUCUGGCUUCCAGGUUCAAGUGAUUCUCCUGCCUCAGCCUCCCGAGUAACUGGGAUUACAGACUUGCACCAACACGCGGGGCUAAUUUUUGUAUUUUUAGUAGAGAUGGGGUUUCACCAUGUUGGCCAGGCUGAUCUCGAACUUCUGACCUCAAGUGAUCCACCCGCCUCGGCCUCCCAAAGUGCUGGGACUACAGGCGUGAGCCACAGCACCUGGCUGUUCACUCUAUCAUUAUUCACUGCAAUAAAUGAAAUAUUUAAAAAACUAAUUUCCUAGGCUGGGCGCAGUGGCUCAUGCCUGUAAUCCCAGCACUUUGGGAGGCCAAGGCAGGCAGAUUGCCUGAGGUCAGGAGUUCAAGACCAGCCUGGCCAACAUGGUGAAACCCUGUCUCUACUAAAAAUAUAAAAAUUAGCCAGUCAUGGUGGUGUGCCCCUGUAAUCCCAGCUACUCAGAGGCUGAGGCAGGAGAAUCGCUUGAACCCAGGAGGCGGAGGUUGCAGUGAGCCGAGAUCGCACCACUGCACUCCAGCUUGGGUGACAGAGCGAGACUUAAUCUCAAAACAAACAAACAAACAAAUGAAUUUCUUAUGACUGUUAGCAUUAAAUGGUUUUGUUCUGGAUUUUACUUUAAACAACUUUUACUAAUACAUAGUUAAUCAAAAUGCCAUGAAUGUAAUAUCACAUAAUUGAUAAGUAAAGAGCACAAAUAAAAUUCUGGUAGAAAUGAAUCUUUUUUUUUUUUCCUGAGAUGGAGUCUCACUGUCGCCCAGGAUGGAGUGCAGUGGUGCGAUCUCGGCUCACUGCAAGCUCUGCCUCCCAGGUUCACGCCAUUCUCCUGCCUCAGCCUCCCGAGGAGCUGGGACUACAAGCA
rnacentral:lncRNA from 1 species